CAUUUGCAGAGUAGUAAUGCUCCUCUACACAAGGAUAUUAUUGCCCCAUACACUGCUUUCCACAGCCAAAAUAAAUGUUCUAACCCAGAUGGACGCAUUUCGGUCCAACUUACUAUGUUUGAGAGAUUCGGCUAGACGUGUGUACCAUAGCACAGAGAUUAUAGAAAGUGCAACAGAAAUCCAUAACCUGAGCACCCAGGCCAUGUUGUUAUGGUGUCUUAGUAUCUUUCAGUUUCCUUGGAUCAAUAUUUCUCUAUCCUCCAGUGGGCUUGAGCUAUAUAUACUCAUCAGGGAGAGAGUUUCAGGACAGGGUGUGCAAGACAGGGUGUAGACUGAAGUAGUAGAAUCCUAUACUUAAACUUGGUACUGACCUCACUGCCAAAUUUCAUGAUCUUUAAUAUUGUGAUAUGGCAAUUAUCUUUUGUCACUGAGGCUGAGUGGCCUUUUCUGGCUAUGGGAGGCUGACAUUGCUAUUGUUUUUUAAUAUGUUCUGUUUAUCUGUGUGGUGUUUUGUUAAUCUACUAAUGCCAGAUUGUGUUG